CUGAGGCAUCAUAGGUAGUGUUGACUACUUUAUAUCAAUAAAGAACUACUUUAAAGACUUUAAAGACUACUUUAUAUCAAUAAAGAACUUCAGAAAGCCAGCUCCAAACUAUUACACCCCAGUGUCAAUAAGUGUUUCAUUGUCACAUUGGUAUGUGCAUCAAAUCUGAAUUUAAUACUGUGUUCGUGUCAUGAUAUGUCUUUCCCAUUUUUGUUAAGGCGAAGCCAAGGACCUGUGCUCCUCCGUCGGUGCUCUGGCUGCCAGGAGCAUCGAAUUUAAAGAAGUGGCCAUGCUGCCGGCAUCAGACCCCACUGGCCACAGGGAGAGCCACGGAGUUCAAACAACAGCUCCAGCACCUCGCCAACCAGGUGAGGUCAAAUGAUCAAUUUGACCUCCUCACGCACACCUUGGGGCCAGGAAUGGUAGAGGUGGUGGUGGAUAUUUUUUUAAAGUGUGUUGACACACACAUUGAAAAUAUUAACAAUUAGCAAUUUGUUGUUUGUUGUGUUCAUUAAUUAAAUAUCUUCAUGUUCUACA